rnacentral:lncRNA from 1 species
CACGUGGGAAACGUGCGGCCGGACCGCCACAUGUACUGAGGUUGAGUCGUGACGGCCACAGGCUCCGAGUUUUGGCGUGAGGAACCGCUGAUCGGCCACGGGCACCGAACUUGCUGGCCUCCGGCAUGUGCCUGAGGGGCGGCGGAAAAACCACCUUAAUUGGGGCGGAGGGAACAAUGGCGCUGUCUUCAGUGGCACAGUGGAGCAGCUCUGAAGAUGCAAAGUGAGGGUCGCUGUCUGCCCAUUGAUAGAGGCCAGAUUGUCUUGGAAGUUCCAAAGUUGCAACGAUUUCUGGCUAGUGCCACGAGGUUUACUUGACUGUUGUGUGAAAAGCUGAUAAGAAAACCAUCCAGAAAAAAGCUCUUCGUUUUACAAACAUGAAAAUAAAACAUGUAAUUUUG